AGCUGACUCUCCCUUAGCUGGGAACGAAAAAAAAGAAAAACCCUAAGGCUCCGAAGAAAAAAAAGGGAAGAAAAACCCUAGCCGCCUCCAGCUCUUUCCUCUCUUCUCCUUUCAUAUCGGACACUCUCUCAGCUCUCACGGAUUUCCCUCAGCUCUCGAAAAUAAACCCUGCAUCCUCACCUUCUGCCUCUCCCUGCAAUUGCUACUCCCUCUCAGCCGUUAGUUCUCUGUGUUCCUCAUCAAUCACUCCAUCAAUCUGAUCAUUUUUUUCCCUUGGCAGCUCGAUAUUGACAGUGAAAGAAGGAACCCAUGGUUGCGUGCCCAGCUCCUCCCCGUUCCUCCUCCUUGCUGUCCUAUUGCAUCAUUUCCCGUGCUGUGAGCUGCUGUUGCCCAUUCUUCUGUGUUGCUUCUGUUCGGGGGCUUCAACUGCCCGUUGUACCGCUGCUACUGAGCUACUCGCGUUUGCUGCUGCCUUCCCCGAGUCGAUACCACUGAUGCUCAACCCUUCUCUGAGAAACUCAAUCGAUGAAAGAGUGCUAGCUCGUUUGACAUGAUUUCGACAACUUAAAGUCACGUUUAUGCUAUAGGCUUAGUCAUGUGCAGGUUUGUGGUUCUAUAUAUGAUGACUUAGCUUUAUCUCGAUAGCUAGGAACUGUCCUUGAUGAAGACGCUGAGUUAUAUGAUGAUUUCUUGAUCGAUUCAUGGUGUCUUGGCUCGGUUUACUGAACUUGAUGUUGUCUCUAACAAUGUGGCCGGGUUAUGCUACGGUUCCUUUGUUGUUUCAAUCUUGUUUGACAUGAUUUCGUGGGCUUGAGGUUGAGUCUAUGAUAUGAGCUGAGUUAUCGUAAUCAUUUUGGAUUGAAUGGAAAUAAUGAUUGAUGCAUUACUACUAUUUUCGACAUGAGGCUAAGUUGGGCAUGAUAAUGGAAGAACGAUAUUUGCUUGAUGUGAAUGGAUGGGAAGCUUAUUUUGGGAUCAUAAUUUGUUUUCCCCUGGUGCUAUAACUGAUUCAUUAAGGCUGCAUUUAACUAAGAAAGAGGGCUCAGAGUAGUGCUUGUGUGCUAUUUUCUUGAUAUAAAGAUGGAGGUAUAGUUCGGGGAAUACUAGGGGUGUCAUUCAUGGCUGAACAGAGGGGCUUAAAAUCCAUUUUUCGUCUAGUUUAAUGCGGGUUUCAGAUCUGAUCGGAAUUCCCUUUCUCUUGGAACUUUUGAACUACGUGUGGUUUGAUAGAAGAUACAUAAGUUUGGUAGCGGUCUAGAUGGAAUCGUGGAUUCUUUGGUCUGUUAUAAAACCCAUGUGGAGAUGAAGGGUUUAACAAAGAUCAUGAAAUUGCAUGCCCUCAUUUGUCUUCUUUUAUGUGUUGAGGCCUAGUGGUCGUAGAUGUUGCUUUCCCAUAUGUCUCGGCUGUAUUUUAUGCAUAAGCUCUGAAGUCAUAAUGCCUUAGACUCCUUGAAACUCUUCCUUCGAGUUUUACUGGCUUUGUAUUCGCUACUCUUCCGACCCCCUCUCGUUUUUCUUUCUUGCUUUUGCAUGUUAUCCCAAGCUUGGGAGGAGAAGACAAGGAAUGAGGAGUCAUGAGAAGGAAUAAGUAUGGAUUGACUCCAAGACGACGUGGAGACUUACCUAGGCUUAGGUUGAGUCCCGACUUGAAGGCCGCCCCGGUCCGUGGUAGUCAAGGAUCUUUCGAGCUAGCUCAUCCUGAGAAUCUCUUGGGAUCAGGUACAUCAAACACAAGAACUACGAUGGACUCUGAUCUCUGACCCCUCGGGAUACGUAGGCGCUCCCCCCUAGAGCUCGAGUUCCUCAUUGCACGACCGGGGCAUCCUCAACGAAGCAGCAGCCUCAGCGCGAGACCGAUCAUCGACAAAUCAAGGACCUCGGGGCUAUGCACGACACAGUCAUCAAACAAGCACUUGGGUCACACGACGAUUCGCGAGCCAUAAUCACCACUGCAUCACCCCAGCGUGAUCUUGACUUAGUGUCAAGCGAACUGUCCUUUCAGCGCCCAGCGCUAUUCCUUAACACUGAUCUUUGCUCUUGUAUUCCAUGCACUUCGCUACCACUACCUUGCAUCGUCGCGGGCCCAUAAACCCGUAUCUUUACUUUUUCUGCACCCCACGGGCCCAUAAACCCGUGUCUUUACUCUCCCCGCACCCCACGAGCCCAUAAACCAGUGUCUUUACUGUUCCGGCACCGCAAGGGCCCAUAAACCGGUGUCUUUACUGUUCCUGCACUCCACGGGCCCAUAAACCUGUGUCUUCACUCUUCCUGCACCACUCGGGCCCAUAAAUCCUUGUCUUUACUUUUCCGACACUCCACAGGCCCUUAAACCCAUGUCUUCACUUUUCCCGCAACGCACGGGCCCAUAAACCCGUGUCUUGAGUCUUCCCGCACCGCACGGGCCCAUAAACCCGUGUCUUUACUCUUCCGGCACCCACGGGCCCGUAAACCCUUGCCUUUACGGUUCCUACACCCCACGGGCCCAUAAACCCGUGUCUUUACUUUUCCUGCACCCCACGGGCCCAUAAACCCGUGUCUUCACUCUUCCUGUACCACACGGGCCCAUAAACCCGUGUCUUCACUUUUUCUGCAAUGCACAGGCCCAUAAACCCUUGUAUUUACUGUUCCUGUACCCCACGGUCCCAUAAACCCGUCUCUUUACUUUUCCCGCACCGCAUGGGCCCAUAAACUCGUGUCCUCACUUUCCUUACACCAUACAGGCCCAUAAAUCCAUGCCUUUACUUUUCAUAAACUCGCGACUUAUUGCUUUGAGUCCGAUUUCCCUCCUCCUAUUCACUGAUUCCGACAUCUGUUCAAUAGAUUUAGGUACAUAUGCUUAAUUUCUUCCCACGCAUCCAAAGCUGAGGAACCAGCGGCCAUCGGGAAAGAGGUCGAAGCAGUCGCCGGAACCAAAAAGGGUUGCUUCUCAUAAUCUUUGGCUACAUCCUCUAAUCGAGCAUGCAACCAAAGAGGGGCAAGCUGUCAGUACCCCGUUUUGGUUCACCGGCUCAAGGAUAUGACAUCAACAAGGCUUCCGACUAGGGUUCCACAACUCUAACAAAAAAAUGGCGAUGGCAAGUUAUGGAAUUUUGCAGCACAAACAAUUGAUCCCGAAGAGUAAGGCACGAAUUAUCAAUAUUCGAAUCGAAUACAGUGGACAAAGGGGAAAUCACGUCUCUGUAUCAUUUUCUUAGGUGAGAACGACUAUCUUCGUGGAUCCUAGAACUAAGUUCGAUAUUUUUAGAUCAAGGUUUGGUGAGUUGGGGACAUUUCAAUGCAAAAAUCACAUCGAGAGCCCUUUCGAGCAAAAAGAUAAAAUUCGUGGGAGUUGGGGUGCCCAAGGAGUGAAUACAGCAGCUCAAGCAUGGGAUUCGACGCAUCAUAUCACGGUCAAUCCUGAACCUAAAAGGGUGAAUUCCAUAUCCCUGACCUAGGAAAUCGAGUUAGGUGCAAUUUAACGGGUCGUUCAUUCCAAUAUUCAAUACGGAGAGAGAGUUAUGAAUUUUUGAGCGCACCAUGCCCGAAACUGUUAAACCGGGACAGACUCUUCAAGUUGAGGGAGAAAAUCCAUAAAAAAAAAAUCAAUUCUUCGCGUUUUCGAGCAUGGAUAACGGCAUUGGAUUCCCAAUUCACUGGAGAUUCAGAAAAUCAAGAAAAACGAGAUGCAUUUUUGGCUAGAUUAGUACAAAAUUAAGGGUCUCCUCACAGAUCAGGACCAAAUUUACCGGUUCGGGCCAGCUAUCGAAGAAAAAUUGUUUUGGGAACUUCCCGAGGUCGAACGAUCUUCAAAUUUUACAAGGAUGUGCCCAGCUCAUGUAGGGAUCAAGAAAAACUAUCACAUAAACCGAAAGUGUCAUGAGCAAUUCAGGAAAAUUUCGGAUGUUCAGGUCAUCCCAUGGACCACUAGUCAUAGCUCUACCCCUCCUGCCCUUUUUCCCCACUACCCUCAUUUCUUUUUUUGGUUCUUCUUCUCUUUUCUUUUCUUUUCUUUUCUUUUUUUCGGUUGGUCCAAAAGAGGAAAACCUCCAGCUCACUCUCAGCUGCUCUCCCUUAGCUGGGAAC